rnacentral:tRNA from 1 species
AUUUAGGUAGCUUAUGUAAAGUUUAACAUUGAAGCUGUUAAGAUGAGAGUUAGGCUCUCCUUGAAUA